rnacentral:lncRNA from 1 species
GUGCAAAGAUCAUUGGAGGCAAAUACGCACCAACACAGACUCAUGUGGACAUAACAGAAACUGCAAUUAUGGAGAUAUCUCUUUAUUUCUUCUCGUAGAUACAAGACUCGCACUGCAUCUGAGGAGAAGACCAGAAUGGACUGGUUUGGCUUCAAGCAACUGCAAUCAGUUGCCUCACAGAGGGUUUCCUUGAUGCUGAAUUUGCUGUUUGCAAAUGCCCAGAAAUCUGCUGCUGAAAGGAGGAACAUUAUCCCUUUGCUGUAUGGCUCAAGAAGUUCUUACAAGAAGAGAGACAGCAAGGACAUGGAGUCUGCUGGAUUCCAGGAGAAAAGGUCUGCAGGGCUCCUGGAGGGAAAAUUACCAGAGAAUGUAUGGAGCUUUCCUGAUCCAGAUUCAGCCAAAUCACUUUCCAUUGUUCUCAGCUUUACUGAUGCACCUCCUCCAGCCUGUGCUGAGUCACUGAUCACAAUUAAAAACCAGCUGCAAUCAUAAAGAGAUGGAUAUUCCCACAAGCAACUGCAUCAGGUGCUGGGGCUGUGCUUCAAGGCCAGACAAUAUUUGGGAUGCAGAAUCAUUUGUUAAAAGCAUAUCUGGAGGCUGUUUGGUUCCCUGGUAGAAAGCGGGAAGUGUCCAGGAGUUCAUUCUUCAGAAUUUCUCUCCAAUGGCGCCAGUCUGCCUGUUUGCAACAUUUCACCCAGUUUUGCAAAUCUGACAACCCUCUGGCCAGUGUACAUGUUCUGCCACAAAGUUUUGCGAAACAUCCUCUGUCUCUUAUCAAAACAAGAGGGUAGAGUUCUUCUUGUGGUAAAAGUUCACAACACUGAAGCACCCAAAAAAAAAAAAUCAUUUUGGGACAGAUCAGCACCUAACUUCAGAAUGAAGCUGCACUAGUGUGCUCCACCUGAGGAUACUGCGGUGUGGUAGUAAAGCCAUUCCACAGACUUCUUUGGCCCACUUACUUCAGGGCUGACUUUAAGGGGUUGUGCCCCCUAGCAUACUGAUGAACAGAAGAUCUGAUACCUCCUCUCUGUCUUGUGGAUGUCAGGGUGCUGCAACCUUCCUAAUGACUAGUCAAGUCUCAAUGGCUCAUCCUGAGCAUUCCUGCUCCAGACCUGCCUGUGGGGCUUUUUAACCAGCUCUCAACUUGCCAGACCAAUUUCUUCAGUAUGUGUUUGCCUACAUUGGCAGACAUUCUCUUAAGCACUGUGACUUUGGACAUUCUCUUCGGACACUGACAUAGAUGUGGGCAUGGUAAGCCCUAAACACCUAUGUCCCACUUUCCCUUUUGCCUUGACCUUAGUGUGAUCUGAGUUUCAUUUCUAGUAGGUGUCAUGGUGAGAGGUGAAGAAAGGAGAAGACAAUGGAAGUGAAGCUGGGCUUUUAUUCAUAGAGACAGAUCACAUGUGAGCUAUGCACCUCAGACAAAUUCUGCCUCUGAGACCACUGUGUCACCUCCUUUCUCAUGCAGCCAUUGUGACCUUCCUGAUUUUCCCCCUCCUACUCUCAUUCCCCAUGCUGUGAUUUAUGUCCUUGCUCCAUUGUGUCUAUCUGUUCUCUGGGACAGGUUUGUACAGCUGAUGCAGCAUUUAUUGCAACUAGGGCUCAAUCUUCAUCCCAUGUUUGCAAAUUCCUCAUGAAAAAUAAUAAUGAGUGUGCUAACAAACUUAACAGCACUUGUGAGGGUGUAGAGAGAUAUGUUCUUGCAGUAUAUUAACCUGCUCUAGAGAGGAGAAUGCUGCUUAUGGAAGAAGUCAUGCUCUGCAUUGUCAGGUUCCUCACUGACAUCCUUCAUUGAUUGCAUAGCUUGCCUGCGGUUCCCCAGUGUUCCAAGAAGACAGAGAGCCUCCUUAAAACUCCUACACCACACCCCCUCCUCCUUGAGCCAACCUCUAAAUAAAUGUCAGACCAUAAUCA